rnacentral:rRNA from 1 species
UGAGGAAUUUUGCGCAAUGGGAGCAAUCCUGACGCAGCAACGCCGCGUGGGUGAUGAAGGCCUUCGGGUCGUAAAGCCCUGUCAGGUGGGAAGAAUGUCCCGGAACUGAACAGGUUUCGGGAGUGACGGUACCACCAGAGGAAGCACCGGCUAACUCCAUGCCAGCAGCCGCGGUAAUACGGAGGGUGCCAGCGUUAUUCGGAAUUACUGGGCGUAAAGCGCGUGUAGGCGGUCCUGCAAGGCUGAUGUGAAAGCCCCGGGCUUAACCCGGGAAGUUCAUUGGAAACUGCAGGGCUUGAGUACUGGAGAGGAUGGGGGAAUUCCCGGUGUAGAGUUGAAAUUCGUAGAGAUCGGGAGGAAUAUCAGUAGCGAAGGCGCCCAUCUGGCCGGUAACUGACGCUGAGACGCGAAAGCGUGGGGAGCAAACA